GAACGGUUAGUACUAUAAGACUCUGUUGCUUCGCUGGCAUCGUUCAUUCUCGUUUGGAACCCGUUUGGUAGUAGUUCGGAAGGCGCUUAAAUUGAUUAACCUCUCGGAGCGUGCGUUGGAUCAUUUUGGUUUCAGCUUGUUAGCAAUCUUUCUAAAAGUAUGAUCACGUUUAAACUUCAUCAUCUCCUAAUGGCUACAUUCUGUGGUAACAUCGUAGGAGACCAUGAAAAAGGAUAGGCAAAGGUGGGAGCUUCUUCAAUUAAAGAAGAUUUGAUAACUAUCAUAAUUUGAUAACAUGAGACUAGGUUGAAGAAACCUUUGCAUGAAGAACUGAGAAGAAUUAAUAGAAGAUUCCACCCAAAAAAUGCUUCCUCUUAACAUUUGGAAUGCGGGCAACGUAUUUUUACGUUUUUUGCAAUAACAAAAAUUUUUGUUGAACAACGAUGAGAGAUAGAUAGGAGGUGGCGAUAUUUGAGAUGAAGUAACUUCAAGAUCAGAUAUGUAUUGCAAACUAAAUUACACAGCGGUACAAAAGAAAAUACUCGGACUAAUUUAGAUGAACGUGAAAAAGAUGGAAUGAGCGACUAUUUAGGAAAAAUUAAAAUUUAUUUCAUAAAAGAUGUAUGAUACAUUCAAAUGGUACUAUAAAAUGUAAUAAACACUACUAGACUAGA